rnacentral:rRNA from 1 species
GACGGGUGAGUAAUGAGGAGGAAAUUGCCCUGAUGUGGGGGAUAACCAUUGGAAGGAUGGCUAAUACCGCAUAAUGGUUCGGGUCAAAGAGGGGGACCUUCGGGGGUCUCGCGUCAGGGUAUGCCUAGGUGGGAUUAGCUAGUUGGUGAGGUAAUGGGUCACCAAGGCGACGAUCCCUAGCUGGUCUGAGAGGAUGAUCAGCCACACUGGAACUGAGACACGGUCCAGACUCAUACGGGAGGCAGCAGUGGGGAAUAUUGCACAAUGGGCGCAAGCCUGAUGCAGCCAUGCCGCGUGUGUGAAGAAGGCCUUCGGGUUGUAAAGCACUUUCAGUCGUGAGGAAGGUAGUGUAGUUAAUAGCUGCAUUAUUUGACGUUAGCGACAGAAGAAGCACCGGCUAACUCCGUGCCAGCAGCCGCGGUAAUACGGAGGGUGCGAGCGUUAAUCGGAAUUACUGGGCGUAAAGCGCAUGCAGGUGGUUUGUUAAGUCAGAUGUGAAAGCCCGGGGCUCAACCUCGGAAUAGCAUUUGAAACUGGCAGACUAGAGUACUGUAGAGGGG